AUGCAGUCGAACGCGUUGGCCCAAUUGAUUGAUGGUGCUUGCACCUGAUUGAUUUUGGUCGCCAACGAGUGGCGGACGGGUGAGUAACACGUAGGUAACCUGCCCAGAAGCGGGGGACAACAUUUGGAAACAGAUGCUAAUACCGCAUAACAACGUUGUUCGCAUGAACAACGCUUAAAAGAUGGCUUCUCGCUAUCACUUCUGGAUGGACCUGCGGUGCAUUAGCUUGUUGGUGGGGUAACGGCCUACCAAGGCGAUGAUGCAUAGCCGAGUUGAGAGACUGAUCGGCCACAAUGGGACUGAGACACGGCCCAUACUCCUACGGGAGGCAGCAGUAGGGAAUCUUCCACAAUGGGCGCAAGCCUGAUGGAGCAACACCGCGUGAGUGAAGAAGGGUUUCGGCUCGUAAAGCUCUGUUGUUAAAGAAGAACACGUAUGAGAGUAACUGUUCAUACGUUGACGGUAUUUAACCAGAAAGUCACGGCUAACAACGUGCCA
rnacentral:rRNA from 2 species